rnacentral:tRNA from 1 species
GCCUCGGUGGCGUAGUGGUCAAGAGCUCGUCUUGUAAACAGGAGGGCGUGGGUUCGACCCCAGUCGAGGCA